UUGACAUUAUUCUUGAUGUGGCUUAACGUCAGGAGUGAGGGUUAGGGAGGAUUCCUCCUCCCCCUGGUGUCUUAGUAAGCCUGGAAGCUAAUCACUAAGAGUAUCACCAGUAUGAUGACUACCUUCAUCAUAACCCUUUCCUUAUU
rfam:Salmonella enterica subsp. enterica serovar Enteritidis str. LA5, WGS project CAGR02000000 data, contig: Scaffold20-Contig1